rnacentral:rRNA from 1 species
AUUGAACGCUGGCGGCAUGCCUUACACAUGCAAGUCGAACGGCAGCACGGGUGCUUGCACCUGGUGGCGAGUGGCGAACGGGUGAGUAAUACAUCGGAACAUGUCCUGUAGUGGGGGAUAGCCCGGCGAAAGCCGGAUUAAUACCGCAUACGAUCCACGGAUGAAAGCGGGGGACCUUCGGGCCUCGCGCUAUAGGGUUGGCCGAUGGCUGAUUAGCUAGUUGGUGGGGUAAAGGCCUACCAAGGCGACGAUCAGUAGCUGGUCUGAGAGGACGACCAGCCACACUGGGACUGAGACACGGCCCAGACUCCUACGGGAGGCAGCAGUGGGGAAUUUUGGACAAUAGGCGAAAGCCUGAUCCAGCAAUGCCGCGUGUGUGAAGAAGGCCUUCGGGUUGUAAAGCACUUUUGUCCGGAAAGAAAUCCUUGACUCUAAUACAGUCGGGGGAUGACGGUACCGUAAGAAUAAGCACCGGCUAACUACGUG